rnacentral:lncRNA from 10 species
AAUGCUUUUAUUUUGUUAUGCUUUCUGUGGCUUUUCAUGCCCCACCCUUUUUAAGAAACCACUCCUUCUGCACACCUCCCUAAAUAUGGGUAAGUUCAUACCCUAUAAUAAUCUCCUGUGUAAAGUCACUGACCCAUUUCCACUGCUGCUCUCUCAUCUGCUGCUCUGAAGCCUAAACCAUGGUGCCCAGAAUCUUCGAUGCAACUCAUGAGAAGCUGGAGGACCUGGAGAAGCUGGCAACUCAAAAAGGCCAAAGGGUGCAGACAAUAAAAGCCCCAGACAAGCGUAUAGAACCACACGCCGUCUUUUUACUUGCCAGGCCCAGGGCGGCUCAUGGAGGAGACAGGGACUCUCCCCAGGUCGAAGGCCCAAGGCCUGGAUGAUGGGGUGGGGCCCAGGAUGGGUGCCAGGGGUCUGGAGGACAUGAGUGGAUGAAGGCCCCGGGCUUCAGCUUCCUCUUGGUGGAAUGUGGGUGAUGAGGUCCGACCAUGCAGCGCUGCUGUGAGGACCGGAUGAGAGGAUCCCUGGGAGGUGGCCGGUGACUUGGUACCGUCACCUCAGUGACUGUUCUUCGUCCUCAUGGAUGUUCAGAGAAGACUUGCCCACUCUCUCCACCAGAUACAACCAAUAAAACCUCUGAAAAUUUCAGCCGAACUUUAUAGCACUUUCAUUCUUUUCCAAUUUAUUUGACGCUAUUUAAAUCAGACCUAGUGAUUCUGGGAUGCCUGAGAUUCCUGUCCCUUAGAAGGGACGUCAGGUGCCUUCUGUGCGCACACGUGGCAUUUGGGCGGGAACCCAGAGCCCCGACUCUGGGCUUGUUGGACUGAGAUCCAAG